rnacentral:snRNA from 1 species
GGAUGUGGGGACAAUCUGGUUGUGAUAUCUGUCACCCCAUUGAUUGCCAGGGUUGACUUAGCUGAUCUGGCUGGCUAGGAAGGUGUCCUUUUUCUCCCUCACUGCUCCAUGCACACCUCUCACCCCUCUGCCACCCCCAGAGCCCCAGCAAAACUGCUCAGUCAAAGAGGACAGCCACCCCCAGUUGAGGAGAAGUGUUUCCUCAGUGAAGAGUAGCUGCACUCCCCUACUAGAACCUCCAAACAAGCUCUUAGAAUAAACGUGUAUAAAAAUACUUUUCAUGUGUUAUUUUAAUUCAAAUUAUCUCCUCUGUGGCCAUU